AAGAAUAAAGCAGAUAAGUAACAGGUGGGAUAUUUACCUCGGUAGAAAAUAUUUCCUGUGUUGUUCCUAAGUACUGGAUAAGGAAUAUAAACAGCUACCAAAGAAAAACUGCUGUGAUUUGCUGGUGGAAAUGGUGAAGAACUGGAUUCAAGCAACGUUUUUCCAGAAAAACUAGAAACAUCCUUUUGUCAGCAAUAAAUCGAACACGUUCAUACCAAAAAUCUGCCGUACUUGUUCCAAAUCACCGGACUAUUGAACCAAGGUGUAAAUAAAAACGUAUCUAUUGCAUUACGUUUAAUACAAGUCGAAAGAAAUUUGCUAUUAAAUUAUACUUACCACUGUCAGCUUGAAUUAAGUUUAGGAUCCUGAAAGAAAUCAACAUUAAUAACAAUGCCCAUCAUAUUUCAAGGGAAAUCUAAAAGUGAGGAUUUAUAAUCUGAAUAAGUGCUAAAACAUGCGUGGACAUAUAAAACAAAACUCACUAAUAUAACAUCUGCUGAACUCAAAAAGUAAAAGAAAUUGCAAUGCUUAAAAAUAUCAACAAAAAGAUGUGCGUAUAUAUUACGUGUACACAGGUAUAUCUUCAAAUAUAGAUAUACGUAUACGUUAUAUUCAAGGAUCUUUUUAAAAUAUUCCCAUCUGUAAACUGGACGGCGAGAAGUGAAGAGGCAAAUAUCUUAAUUCCUCUAAGAACAACGUAAGUUGGAUCAACUGUUUUGCCAAUUUCGCUCGUGCCUCUUUAGAUUCAAAUACAUAUAGAAGGAUACUCUGGAGCCAUGAUAUCUAAAUUCAGAACGUUUGGAUCAAAGUUAUUUUCUUCACUAAAGGAAUCUGUCACCUGAAAUAUAAUUCACGGUUGAAGGUACUUAAUAACUUACAACCAUACCAAAAGCUAAUAUGUUAUAAAUAUUACUUGUGACAAUGUAACGCUUUCAAACAAGCAACUUCACUUUACACAGAUAUUCAAUAAUUGAAAAAAAAAACAAUUGUGACGGUGAAGUUGUACACAACCAUAAGCCUUCCAUUGGCAUCUUCGACAAUGAAUCCGAAUGGAAGCAAUAACUCUCUCGCAAAUAUACAAGCGGCUGGGACACCAUUCACUUGGACACACUGGGUAGUAGCACUUAUAUUAAGCUUUACCAUCAUUGGUACCAUAAUAGGCAAUUCGUUAGUAUGCAUUGCUGUUUUUAUGGUAAAAAAAUUACAGACACCAUCUAAUUUUCUUAUUGUUUCACUCGCUGUGUCAGACUUAUUUGUAGCACUAUUCGUAAUGCCUCUAGCGCUGCUUUAUGAACUUACGAAAGAGUGGCGUCUCGGUGACGAACUUUGUGAUGCUUGGACAUCUUUGGAUGUCAUGCUUUGUACAGCAUCAAUUCUGAACUUGUGCAUUAUCAGUGUCGACCGUUAUUGUGUUAUUACUCGGCCGCUUACGUAUGCAAUAAAACGAACACCAAAACGGAUUGCAUGGCUCAUUACUCUGGUAUGGCUACUCUCUGCCUUGAUAUCUAUUCCUCCGUUAAUUGGAUGGAAAACAGUGCGGAACCCGUUGGAAUGUGGCUACAGCCAGGAACUUGGUUAUCAAAUAUAUGCUACUGUCGGAGCAUUUUAUCUACCUUGUACAAUUAUGAUCAUAGUCUAUUAUAGAAUAUGGAAAGUAUCUGAUCGAAUUAGUCGUGCAGAGACUAAGUCUCACAGAGGAACCCUAGAGCCCUCUACUCCGUAUUCAAAUCGUCCCAAAUCCUCUAGCGGUAGUUGUGAUACGCAUUUAUUCCCUAACGGUUCGGUUCAUUCUGGUAAAGAAGAGGAUAAUGAAAUACUGCCCCGUCGAGAAAGGAGAUUUACUCUCAGAACUUUACUGACGAAAAAAACUAAAAUGACAUGCUCAAAGGAAACGAAAGCAACUAAAACACUUGGAGUUAUCAUGGGGGGCUUCAUUGCUUGCUGGCUACCUUUCUUUAUCUUGGCUCUUGUUAACCCGGUCUGUAAUACCCUCAAACUGAAGUGCCCAGUACAUCCGGUGGUGUCUAGUAUAUUCCUUUGGCUAGGCUAUUUCAAUUCUUUCAUGAAUCCUUUAAUAUAUGCCCGUUUUAACCAAGAAUUCCGGAGACCAUUUAGAGAAAUAUUAUGCUUUCGAUGUCGUGGUAUGAAUAUGCGCUUAAGAACGGAGAGUUAUGCAGCACAGUAUGGACCCGAUCCGCAAAUAAAUGCGACAAAUCGAUGCAGCCUUCGUAUUCCAAAUGAUUCAAUUGUGCGAUAUAACAGUCAAGGACAAACAUUAGUACAUGUUGGUAACGGGUCUACAGCAUCUGAUGGGGAAUCAAAGUUAUAAUUGCACUAAUACAAAAAGUGUAUUACAGUUCAUAUAACAUGCAGCAUAUAGUAUGGAGUAUUAUAUGACAUUUUAGCGCAUUUCAUAGGUAGAAAACAUUAUUGAAACCUAUGUAAGAAUGCCUUGUAAAACAAAAAAUAAAAACAAUAAGCAAAAGAGAAAAAUGAAUAAAAACUCCAACCACUGAAAGUAAAUUUGCAUUUUAC
rnacentral:misc_RNA from 1 species